CAGUUAGCCAUUCCAGAGUAAUCCGGUUUUACAUUUGCAGCAAUGUCUAAAUGCAUGUCUCCAACUUUGGGCUUCAGGUUUCACAGUGUGUUUAAAUUAUUCAUUGUGCCCACCCCAAAUUUCUAUUUGCCCCCCCAAUCUGAGCAGCCUAGAUCUGGGCCUGGUCGUGGAUGAAGUCCAUGUUACCUAUAAAUGGGGUGAAGCGGCUAAAGGCGAGUCGCCAUUUCGAGAGAGUUUUGCAAAACUCGGCGAGCUGAGAUCAAUUACCAAGGAGGGAACACUGGCCCUGACAGCUUCUGCAGACAUCAAGUCUAGAAACAGAGUCAGAAGAAUUCUCCAUAUGGACAACUGCAUUCAGAUCAUUGCCAGCCCUAACAAGGGAAACAUCCAACUGGGAUUGUGCAUGGUGCCCAGCAAUGAACUUAACUGUUUUGACUGGCUUGUGCAACGUGUUAAGGACAAGGGCUGUUCAAUGCAACCUGUGCUGGUGUACUGCCAGACACUGAAAAUGGUGGGGAGCAGUGGCGGAACAAGUCAGAGCCGGGCCGGGGGCGGGGCA